rnacentral:lncRNA from 1 species
AUUUUUUUCCUUUUCGUUUCUUUCCAAUAGCUACUUUUUAGCUACAAUCUACACUAAUGACUCUAUCAUCACCACCUACUCUUCACUAAAUUCUUCUUAAUUCAGAAGCUAAACGGCUUUAUUAGUUAAAACGGAAUCGUAAUCAGGGUGGGCAGAAAUUGAACAUUAAUUUUAUUGAUUUUGUUUGUGGUUUUUGUAAUUAGCUUAAAUCUUGAAUUGUGAUUUUAGCAUUAUUGUGGUAAAGGUUCUGUUUUUACAGAAAUCAGGUUGUAUAUUAUUUUUCUCUAUCAUAUGAUCUCGUUGUUUCUCAACGAACCGUAUGGAUAUGCAUUUCUAGGUUAUUUUCUUCAUGUUUUUAUGAGUUUUUGUUCUUUACAUUUUCUGGUGGUUCAAUGGGUCUUGAUUGCAGUUUUGACAAGUGGGGAGAGAUGAACUUUGUAUUUGCGAUAGAGGUGGAUUGCUGAAAAACUUAGUACUUUUGAAGUUCUUGACAGUGGUGAGUUCGUCACCCAUGGUUCAAUAUUAGCCUGGGAAGAUGAAGAAGAUGGAGUAAUGAGAAAUUUUUUGGUAGUUAGCGGUAGAAUUGUAAUUUUAAGUAUUUUAUUUUUUUAAAAUAAAGUAAUGACACAUGUUACAAUCUUGUUGGUGCGUGUUAUGCACCUGCCUAAAAAAAGUGGUUAAAAUAAAAGUGGUAUGUCUUAGACACAUUUUAAAAAGGUUGAGUAUUUAAAGUAAUUUUUAUCUAUAAAAAAUGUAUUACGGGAAUUUAAUCCAUUAUUUAAGGAUUAAACUAUGUAUUUACAGAUGCUUCAAUAAAGUGAUUAAGUGACCAG